rnacentral:rRNA from 4 species
CAACUUUCAACAACGGAUCUCUUGGCUCUCGCAUCGAUGAAGAACGCAGCGAAAUGCGAUAAGUAAUGUGAAUUGCAGAAUUCAGUGAAUCAUCGAAUCUUUGAACGCACCUUGCGCCCCUUGGUAUUCCGAGGGGCACACCUGUUUGAGUGUCGUG